CUCCAUUCUGGUAAAUGACAAUGUUGCGUUCACUCUCCUACGUAAACUUUCUGACCCCACGGGCAGGUACUUGAUUCUGGUCUGUAUGGUGAAUGAAGUCACAUACACCAUAACAAACGCCUAUUUCCCAAACUCCAACCAAGCCCAAUUCCUAGAAACACUAUGUAACAAGAUAGACAAGAUCAAACAGGGUGCCCUAGUGUUGUGCGGGGAUUUUAACUUUAUCACAGAACCAACCCUGGACUCAUCAGCUAAGCUUACAAAUAAGAGAUUAAAAGCAUUACAGGGCUCUUGCAAAACUCUAAGAUCCCGUCUUCACUUCCAUAACCUACUUGAUGUAUGGCGCACUCUACAUGACCACGAGAAAGACUAUACAUUCCACUCAGCGGUACACAACUCUUACACAAGACUUGAUCGCUUCUACACCUCACCCACAGCCCUGACCCAAAUAGAGAAAUGUGUGAUAGGACAAAUAACAUGGUCCGAUCAUGCACCAGUCUUUCUAUAUAUUAAAGACACCCACACACAUACUGGGAAGGGGUUCUGGAGGCUCAACGAAUCCCUACUCCAUGAUCUAGACUUUAUUAAACACGUACGGACAGAACUGUCAGACUAUUUCACUAGGAACGAUAACGGGGAGACGUCCCUGGAAACGUUGUGGCUGGCCCACAAGGCGGUGAUUAGGGGUAUUUUUAUAAAGAGAGCAACUUAUCUAAAACGGAAAAGGGAAUCCCAGAUGACAACAUGGCUCCAACAACUAGAGAUACUGACGAGACAACACAAGCGUGGAAUAUCAGGUGACCUGGCAGUCCAAAUCAAGACACUAAAAUCCCAGAUAGACGAAGCCAACCUACUGAAAACAAACUACCAGAUACAGAAACUAAAGGCCAGGUUCUAUCACCAGGGAAAUAGGGCGGGCAAAGUGCUAGCCAACCUACUUAAACAUAGA